UACGAAGGGGGCUAGCGUUGCUCGGAAUCACUGGGCGUAAAGCGCACGUAGGCGGCUUGCUAAGUCGGGGGUGAAAUCCUGGAGCUCAACUCCAGAACUGCCUUCGAUACUGGCGAUCUUGAGUCCGGGAGAGGUGAGUGGAACUCCGAGUGUAGAGGUGAAAUUCGUAGAUAUUCGCAAGAACACCAGUGGCGAAGGCGGCUCACUGGCCCGAUACUGACGCUGAGGCACGAAAGCGUGGGGAGCAAACAGG
rnacentral:rRNA from 1 species